rnacentral:lncRNA from 10 species
GCUGGGAUUACAGGCACCCACCACCACACCUGGCUAAUUUUUGUAUUUUUAGUAGAGAUGGGGUUUCACCAUAUUGCUCAGGCUGGUCUCUUGGCCAGGCUGGUCUCAAACUCCUGACCUCCUGAUCUGCCUGUCUUGGCCUCCCAAAGUGCUGGGAUUAUAGGGAUUAUAGACGUAAGCCACUGCACCUGGCUGAGACCUCAACUCUUGAAAAAAAAAAAAAAAUUAAUCUUAUCUUCCAUAGAAGCAGGUUCCAAGACUGUUUAGUUAUGUUAUCAAUUAGUUUGAGUUACCUAAUAAGAACAUAUUAUUUUAAAAUUACACUAGUAAAUAAACUUUUCAUUAGAUCUAGUUGACAGAUAUUUACUCAAAAAAGAUUUACUGAGUUGAGCCUGUUCUUCUACGUGGCUGUCUACUCUUAUAGAUAUAUGAGCUCCUAUAUAUACUGAACCCCUUUAGGAUGGCCAAAGUCGGGCAGGUCUGGUGCCUUGCACCUAUAAUCCUAGCAAUUUGAGAGGCUGAGGCAGGAGGAUCUCUUCAGCUCAGGAGUUCAAGACCAGCCUGGGCAACAUAGAGGGACCC